GGGGAAUUUUCCGCAAUGGGCGAAAGCCUGACGGAGCAACGCCGCGUGAGGGAUGAAGGCCUCUGGGCUGUAAACCUCUUUUCUCAAGGAAGAAGAUCUGACGGUACUUGAGGAAUAAGCCACGGCUAAUUCCGUGCCAGCAGCCGCGGUAAUACUGGAGUGGCAAGCGUUAUCCGGAAUUAUUGGGCGUAAAGCGUCCGCAGGCGGUCUUGUAAGUCUGUCGUUAAAGCGUGGAGCUUAACUCCAUUUCAGCGAUGGAAACUGCAAGACUAGAGUGUGGUANNNNCAGAGGGAAUUCCCGGUGUAGCGGUGAAAUGCGUAGAUAUCGGGAAGAACACCAGUGGCGAAGGCGCUCUGCUGGGCCAUAACUGACGCUCAUGGACGAAAGCCAGGGGAGCGAAAGGGAUUAGAUACCCCUGUAGUC
rnacentral:rRNA from 1 species